rnacentral:rRNA from 1 species
UACGAAGGGGGCUAGCGUUGCUCGGAAUCACUGGGCGUAAAGCGCACGUAGGCGGAUUCUUAAGUCAGGGGUGAAAUCCUGGAGCUCAACUCCAGAACUGCCUUUGAUACUGGGAAUCUCGAGUCCGGAAGAGGUGAGUGGAACUGCGAGUGUAGAGGUGAAAUUCGUAGAUAUUCGCAAGAACACCAGUGGCGAAGGCGGCUCACUGGUCCGGUACUGACGCUGAGGUGCGAAAGCGUGGGGAGCAAACGGG